rnacentral:rRNA from 1 species
CGCGGUAAGACGUAGGGGGCAAGCGUUGUCCGGGAAUUACUGGGCGUAAAGGGCGUGUAGGCGGUGCCUUACGUAGCGGUUUUCAGCCGUCGGCUCACCCGACGGAGGGCGGCUAAACGGGGGCGCUGGAGGGCAGGAGAGGUGCACGGAAUUCCUGGUGGAGCGGUGAAAUGCGUAGAGAUCAGGAAGAACACCCGUGGCGAAGGCGGUGCACUGGCCUGGCCCUGACGCUGAGGCGCGACAGCGUGGGGAGCGAACGGGAUUAGAUACCCCGGUAGUCCACGCCGUAAACGAUGGAUACUAGGUGUCGCGGGGGUCCACCCGGCGGUGCCGGAGCUAACGCACUAAGUAUCCCGCCUGGGGAGUACGGCCGCAAGGUUGAAACUCAAAGGAAUUGACGGGGGCCCGCACAAGCAGUGGAGCAUGUGGUUUAAUUCGACGCAACGCGCAGAACCUUACCAGGACUAGACGGGAUCGUGAGCGCCGUGAAAGCGGCGGGCCCUUCGGGGAGCGAUCGUCAGGUGCUGCAUGGUUGUCGUCAGCUCGUGUCGUGAGAUGUUGGGUUAAGUCCCGCAACGAGCGCAACCCUCGUCGUGUGUUGCCAGCGGUUCGGCCGGGCACUCACACGAGACUGCCGGUGACAAACCGGAGGAAGGUGGGGAUGACGUCAAAUCCGCAUGGCCUUUAUGUCCUGGGCCACACACGUGCUACAAUGGCGCCGACAACGGGCCGCGACCUCGCGAGGGGGAGCGAAUCCUUCAAACGGCGUCUCAGUUCGGAUUGCAGGCUACAACUCGCCUGCAUGAAGCCGGAAUUGCUAGUAAUCGCGGAUCAGCAUGCCGCGGUGAAUUCGUUCCCGGGCCUUGUACACACCGCCCGUCACACCACGAGAGUCGGCUACACCCGAAGC